CCAGCCACACAAUUCAUUUUGGCUGAAAUCACUACAUAAAAGCAAUCAAAUUCCAUUAUGAAUAAUAAGAUUUGUUAAGAAUUACUACAACCACAUGUUGCAUAAUUCUGUUCACGUGAUCACUCUUUAGUUCUUUGUUGAAGCCUGAGCAUUGGUGCAUGUUCCCGAGCAAGAAUCCACACAAUUCUUCACCUUUUCUUCAUCUG
rnacentral:lncRNA from 1 species